rnacentral:rRNA from 1 species
UGCAGUCGACGAAGUCUUCGGACUUAGUGGCGCACGGGUGCGUAACGCGUGGSAAUCUGCCCUUGGGUACGGAAUAACAGUGAGAAAUUACUGCUAAUACCGUAUGAUGUCUUCGGACCAAAGAUUUAUCGCCCAAGGAUGAGCCCGCGUUGGAUUAGCUAGUUGGUAGGGUAAAAGCCUACCAAGGCGACGAUCCAUAGCUGGUCUGAGAGGAUGAUCAGCCACACUGGGACUGAGACACGGCCCAGACUCCUACGGGAGGCAGCAGUGGGGAAUAUUGGACAAUGGGGGAAACCCUGAUCCAGCAAUGCCGCGUGAGUGAUGAAGGCCUUAGGGUUGUAAAGCUCUUUUACCCGGGAUGAUAAUGACAGUACCGGGAGAAUAAGCUCCGGCUAACUCCGUGCCAGCAGCCGCGGUAAUACGGAGGGAGCUAGCGUUGUUCGGAAUUACUGGGCGUAAAGCGCGCGUAGGCGG